rnacentral:rRNA from 1 species
UACAGAGGUCUCAAGCGUUGUUCGGAUUCAUUGGGCGUAAAGGGUGCGUAGGCGGCGCGGUAAGUCGGGUGUGAAAUCUCGGAGCUUAACUCCGAAACUGCAUUCGAUACUGCCGUGCUUGAGGACUGGAGAGGAGACUGGAAUUUACGGUGUAGAGGUGAAAUUCGUAGAUAUUAGGAAGAACACCGGUGGCGAAGGCGGCCCACUGGAUCGGUACUGACGCUGAGGUGCGAAAGCGUGGGGAGCAAACAGG